rnacentral:rRNA from 1 species
CCUACGGGAGGCAGCAGGGAGGAAUAUUGGGCAAUGGACGAGAGUCGGAACCAGCCAAGGAGCGGGAAGGAUGACGGCCCUAUGGGUGGUAAACUUCUUUUAUAUGGGAAUAAAAUGUUCCACGUGUGGGAUUUUGUAUGUACCUUAUGAAUAAGGAUCGGCUAACUCCGUGCCAGCAGCCGCGGUAAUACGGAGGAUCCGAGCGUUAUCCGGAUUUAUUGGGUUUAAAGGGAGCGUAGGUGGAUGGUUAAGUCAGUUGUGAAAGUUUGCGGCUCAACCGUAAAAUUGCAGUUGAUACUGGCAGUCUUGAGUGCAGUAGAGGUGGGCGGAAUUCGUGGUGUAGCGGUGAAAUGCUUAGAUAUCACGAAGAACUCCGAUUGCGAAGGCAGCUCACUGGACUGCAACUGACACUGAGGCUCGAAAGUGUGGGUAUCAAACAGGAUUAGAUACCCCAGUAGUC